UACAGAAAGAGAAAUGGGAAAGGCAAAAUUGGAUUAAAAGAGAGAGAGGGAAAAGACAGAAACUAAACGUAAGAAAAAAAAAUUUAAUAUCAGUGGUGCUACUCAUCCAGUAACUGGUGGUGAUUUACAAUUCACAGGGUAUCACUUACUCGCCACGAGUUGCUAGAUGAUUUACACAUUUAAUGAUGGCAAGCGCUACUAAACCUGCCAUUAUUUUAGUGGCGCAUUCUGGGCUGUUAAUAAAUUGCAGAUAAAAAUAUGGUUAUCAUGUAUAAUUUACGUUAUGAUUUAUGUUAUACAAAUACUUAGUACUUAUAAAUACCUACAAACGAGAGAGAUUUAUCACUUGAAAUCAGGAUUGUGCUGACAACUGUAUUAUUCUCUGUGUACAGUGCAUAUGAUGCAGUAGUGCUCCAAUUAACUUUAAAUUUAGUUGUGUAGAAUAAUCUCAAGCAGUUCCAAGAACUCAAGUUUUUUAAAACAGCAACACUGGCUCAGUCAGUAGAUUUCAAUAUUGGAAUCAUCCUGGUUUGAUUUGCUAGAUUAAGACUUUCCAAAUAUUUUUACUAGCGCUAUCAAUUCUGCUAUUAUGCCAAUUGGACCUUAAUCUGUAUUCUUCAAUAUGUGCAUAAUGUUUACCAGAAGUUUCCUGAAUGUUUGGAAGCAUAGUCGUGGCAUUUUACAAAGUCAUUUUCAUGAUGCUAGAGUAGUGUUUUGUUUAUUAAGAAGAUCCUGUGCAUUUUUUUUGUUCUAUUCUAAAUUACAUUGAUUUGUGACUUUUUGUUUGAUACAAUUUCUUCAUUACAUCAGCUCACAUCACCCAAACCAGAUAGUUGCAUCAAUGGUGACGGAAGUAAAUAGGUAUAUCCAGAAUGAUUUGUUACACUACUGUCAGUCACCUCUGGUCUUGUUAAUUUUAUUAUUAGUAAGAGCUUGCUAGGGAAAGCUAAUGUUUCAUUUGCAUUUCUUACACUUGCAAGUGGCCCCUAUUAACUAGCUAACAAAGAGAUGUACGUCAAAUCCUUUCAAGAGCACUAUAUUCCGGAGUUAGUUUUCUUAGUUGUCACAGUAGGUGAUGUGAAUUUGGGAACACUAUAGUGUAGGUUUGCUUUCCUUCAUGAGUAGGUAGCCAAACAACCAAAAAUCUCCCGGAACUAAUGCACGUGAAAAGUUUUAUUAUUUCUUUCAGCGUUUAUUUCUUGCAAUUAAAAUAUAAAUAUAAGCUAAACAAGGUCUGUAAACCUAUUUUGAAAGCUGUGGAAGCAUACAGUGUCUCCAACUCAGAUUUCAAAGACACUGUUUAGCUCAAAAAAUGAAGAAAGUCGAGAGGAAUAUUUGAGUAAGCUAAAACCACCGGGAGCAUGGUUAAUAGAUCACGAAAGAUUGAGGGAGGAGGAUGGAAUUAGAAAAUAGUUCAAAUAAGCACUACAUUUUAACUCUUUUCUAGAAGGAGUAACCACAAAACGCCACAUGGAAACAUAUAUUUGAAACAGUAUCAGUGUGAAGACAAUCUAAAUAUGAACAGAGCUACUUUUCUAAACGCAGAUACACACAAAAACUGUAAAUUGACUAUGAACUCGGGAUUUUUAAACUGAACAAUGCAUUAUGUUUGAAGACUGAGAUAUAUGAUACACCUCAACCCUCCAUGAACUCCAUCUCAUAAGGAUCUUGAUGGUGAAAUGCCCGCUUUAAGAAUCAGAAUGAACAAUGAAUCAAAUGUUGCAUAUGUAAUUUAUGUCUUUGACUCUUGGGAAGGUAAUUGCUAAUUAUAUAAGGUUGGACCAAUUAACUUUAACUAACAGCUUAUGGAGUUUAAUAUUGGCAUAAUACAGCAUCCUACACAUUCAAUUUGUUUCAGUUUUACUCUACAGAGGAUUGCUGCUUGAAUAACAAAAUAUUAGAGCAUUAGUUACAGAUUUGAAAUGCAUUUCUGAAACAUACUUUGGGUAUAGUAAGUAUUCUACUUAUAAAGUUUAGCUUUACAUCAAUACUUCUCACAUGGGAAUGGAACUGUGUUUUGAGUUUCAAAUAGAAUAUUAAAUUGCAAAGACAACUAGCUGACAUAUAUUUACAAGUAUUAAUGAUAAAUAACAACCAAUUGGUACAUUUGCGAUCCUUUUUUCAUCUAUCUUAUUAAAUAACAGAUCCCCACAGCAUCCUUGCAUACUUCCCAGCGAAUUUCAAAGCAUUUUUAGCAAAAGCAAUUAUAAUAUUAAAUAACUUUUGAGAAAUUGAUCUGGUAAAAGAGUGUAUUUGAAUUUUGAACAUUUCAAAACAUCACCGUAAAAUAAUUACUUUCGAAAUUAAGUUUGUCAGGGUAAUCAAGAAGCAGGCACACUUUAAAAUAGAAUCGAGUAACUUUAUUUCGCAAUGUAAAUGAAUGAACUGUAAUUGCAAGAUCACCACAAUAUCAAUUGUGUAUGUUUUACUAUGUUAAAACAAUUCAAAACUCUGUCAUUAAUAAACUUUCAUUUACAUCUUUCAAACUAUUAAAUGGGAAUGUACCACUGACCUGACAUCUAAUGAAAUCAAAUGUUUCAACUACUGCACUGUAUAAUGCUAAGACCUAAAUCAUGUGAGCAUUAUUUUAAUGUCUAUAUAUAAUUUUUAAUCACAACCCAGAAGAUGAUGCACUUGAAAUAAAAAUUGAGUCAUGUAGUUAAUGUUUUUUUUUUCACUUUGCACAAACUGGUGACCAUGAAAUCCUGUAUGGCAUAAGUGUUGGAAAAUAACUCCAGUUUUACUGGGUAGAAUUCUGUGAUAGGAGUCUCUAGUGUAUCUAAUAUCUUUGCUAACAGUAUCCAAGUACAUUAUCUUUUUAGUGCCUUAAUAUUGUUUCCAUGUAUUAGGUAAAUUCAGGUAUUAAUGUUUCAGAAGCAGCAAUAACUUGAACCCAAUAGAAAUGCAAAUUUCACAAUUUAACCUUAUUAAAAUAUGAAAGGCAACUUGUAAUUGGCAUUUGUAUACUUUAUUCCAUAUUUGCUUUUGAUUUCUAUGCAACAGAUUUAAGUACUCACUGUAUUAUGGCAAUUGCUUUGUACUUUUAAUUUUGUAUAAUUCAGUUUAUUGUUCAUAGUUUUUUUUUGAUGAAAGUAAAAGCUUAUUCAACAUA